UUAAACCAGUAUUUAAAUCAAAAUAGACAGAAAACAGAUGUAAUACUUCAAAUAACAAGAAGCAAUAUGUUACAUCAUCUAACACACAUACAAAUGUGAUCACACAUACAAAUGCGAUCACAGUAUAAUAAGCUCUACAAGUGGAUCACAUGAGCCAAGUUCGUGCUUCAGUUUGUUCCAACAGAUCAGCAUCAAGGGCUUCAUUACUCCUUGAACUAGCUCCAAUGAGCUAGAACUAUGCUUCUUCCGACUUCUUCGUCUUGUUGCUCGCGACAAAACAUGAAAGGCCAGCAUGUGCAUGUUAUAGAACAAAAUGGUUAGAAACAAAAUAAAAGCAAAUCUAACAGCAGAUACAAAAAUAAUGAAGGCCAUUCUGUGUGCAUAUAUACCAGCAGAACACAUAAACCCAUCCAUAAAAAUCUUGUUUUUGAACAUUGGCAUCAAAUCAACACAAACACUGAAUUAACAUGCACGAAAGGAAAGAGCUAAUACAAGGCAGGUAUAUGGGUAUCAAAACUAACAAGAAAGGAACAACAAUCUAUUUUAAGUAUUUCAGGUUUGAGGCAUUUUCGAUACUACAAUCAAUAUAUAACAGCCAACAUUUCAAUCCAUGGACACCACAUGACAGAAAAGGUACUAAGGCACUUGCUACAUAAAACCAAAGCAAGGUACAUAGCACAUGCAUGCCAACAAUAAAUUGGUACCAAAUCCAGAAAUCAUCGUCUGAAAUGAAGUUAAUGAGAAAUUUUAGAAUCAAUUUAACAGUUGAUAGUAAUGUUUGCAUUGGACACAUCCAGAACUAAAAUUAUACAUACACGCCGAAAUUCCGAUGGCCAAUGCCUCAAUAUAGUAAACACUAAGCAUGGGACAUAGUAAAGAUUUGACACAACCAGAACUGAAAGCAUUCACUCCAUCAAGCAUAUCUACAAUGCAGCACACAAGAAAAGAGAGAUAUGCAACGGGGUAGCAAUGACAUACAGAUAAUCACUUAACAAGCAGCACGAACAUGAAUAAAUCACAUAACUAAGUACAACCAAGUAUCCCAGCUGAGAGCAAACAUGUAUUCAACAUUUCUGCCAUUUCGAUACAUGCACGACAAAGAGUGGCGCUCAUUUCUUACCACGGCAAAAGGAAGAGAUGACCCCAGACAAUGCCCUACUUCUCCAGGUCGCACUCAAGGCUCAACCAACUCCCCGGGGUACAACCAAGUAUCCCAGCUGAGAGCAAACAUGUAUUCAACAUUUCUGCCAUUUUGAUACAUGCACGACAAAGAGUGGCGCUCAUUUCUUACCACGGCAAAAGGAAGAGAUGACCCCAGACAAUGCCCUACUUCUCCAGGUCGCACUCAAGGCUCAACCAACUCCACGGUGUGGACGAUGACCCCUCCUUGCUCCGUCCGGACGGCGGGGUGCAAACUCGGAAGCCCUGCACAUUACAACUUGCAUCAAUGCAGCAGCCAUACAAGGAACUGAUAUCAAGCAGAGCACAAAUUGAGAGAAAGUUACUGUCCAGGAG
rnacentral:lncRNA from 1 species